CACACACGAACCUGGAGUAAUACAAACCCUCCCGUGUUGUUCCCCUUGCAAAGUGGCCGGUCCUGAAGCAUCUCAUCGGUUUUGUGUGAGUGAGAGAGACACAGCGAGCGCUACAAUCAAAAAGGGGAAAGAAGAUAUCAAGCUGAGAGACUUAUUAAUUGCUCAGAGCUGCUCUGCCACCAGCCAUAGCAGUGUGACCACCCAUGAUUCAACUGAGUUCUACCUGAUCUACAUCUCUGAUUUGCUGACAUUUUGGCUGUUUCAUUGCCAGAGGAGGCUUUGUGUGUCCCAAAGGAAGUGAGUGAUCUGGCCAUAACAAAUCCUGCCAAAAUAUUUUAACACCGUUACGAUUUCCUAAUGCAAUGCGUAGUGAAUGUGACUAGGAAAGGAUGGUGAGUCCGUGACGGGGAUUUGUUCCCUCUCGCGUGCAGUUGCCCGGYAGAACGAGCACCGAUGAGCCCUGG
rnacentral:lncRNA from 1 species